GCCCCUCAUCUUUUGCAUCUUCUCUUUUUCUCUGGAGAAGCGCCAGAACUGUCAUCAUUAGGCUUUGAAUAUUUCUUCCGUCAGUUCAUGCCUCAUGCUUUCCCUCUCAGUUGGCACCUUACUAGAAUUGUAGAAUUCUCACAAAUACAAGAGUCUACAUUUAAUCUCUGUGCUCUGAGAACAAGAACUUCAGCUUAUUUAACCCUGCUAUGGAAUAAAUAGCUCCAGGAUCACAAUUAGACUUUUCUUUUUCUUUAUAUGUUCAGGGCAGUUGUGCACAAGGAUUCCUCAUUCCGGCUACUCGGGGCACUUGUGAACGUAUUGGAUUACUGGUGCGUUAUGCAAACAGCGAUGAUCUGCUACUCCUAUAGAUGAGUAAGGUAUUUAUACUGUAUUUAUUUCUUGCGAUUAAAUCUAUACAUCCAGCAGUAUAUAUUUUAAGUUCAUUCUUAUGAUCCAACUUCAGAUAGGCUAGUCUUCCGUACGCACUCCAGUUUUUAUGCCUAUGCCAAUUGAGUAAUCUAUCUUAUUUAUUUUUAAAGAGAAGAAACAUAUGGUUUUGCUGACCUGUCAGCUCCUUAUGGAGAUGGUGGGCCAGUUGGGGUAAUCUUAGCUGAGGAUCAGCGUUUGUGUUAACACAUCGUUGUUGACUUCUCUAUAUUUAUUAUUAUAUGUAUUUUUGAGAAUGAGAUGCUCCUCUGUGUUGGUGUUUUGGUACUGUUGUCCAGUUCUGCGCAAUAGCAGCUCAAUAUGCUUUUGGUGCAUUGGGUUUGGCUUGGACACUUGGGUAACUGCUAAUGCUUACCUACUCCUAGUCCAUGUUAUAGCUGCUCUUACCUAGUUUCACAUAUGACACUUUAUGUAGUUCACAUUGUUAUUUUAAUGGUUGCAUGUUCUGAUUGUAUGCCUUUGGUGAUAUUUUUUCUAGUCUUUGGUAUGAAGCUAGCUAAGCGCUUCUAUUAUUUAUAGAGACUACUGUGUAAGAAGUCAACACAAUUUACAUGUAAAUAUUUUAAGAUAUAGUAUGAAGCUAGCUAAGCGCUUCUAUUAUUUCUAGUAGCAACAUGUGAUUGACUAAACAAAAAAAAGGAUUGCACUGACAUAUGGAAUGUUUGCAAAUUUUAAAGAAAAUGCAGUUUCUGAUAGUGUAUUAUAACUGAGACAUGUUUAACUUUUGUAGGAAGCAAACAAAAGGACUGCACCCACAAGGAACCGUGAGGCCAGCGCUCCGCGUCAACUGCAUGUUUUAGCUUUCAUUGUGUACAAAUAACAUCUCAGACUUGUAUCUUUUAGCUAUCUUUUUCUGAACAUGAUGCAUGGUGUCUUGGUGGAUAUCUUUAGAACAGACUGAAGUAUAUGUAUGUGACGAUUAGUUAAUGAAACAAAAAUGUUUGGUGCACCUGAUGUGAAUCUAUGAUGUAUGGUGUCUUGGUGAUUUCAUUAUAUGUAUGUUAUAAUCAGUACCAUAAGUUAACUAAAGUUGUG
rnacentral:lncRNA from 1 species